AGAGUUUGAUCAUGGCUCAGGAUGAACGCUAGCGGCAGGCCUAACACAUGCAAGUCGAACGGUAACAUUUCCUUCGGGAAGAUGACGAGUGGCGCACGGGUGCGUAACGCGUAUGCAACCUACCUCUAUCAGGGAGAUAGCCCGGAGAAAUUCGGAUUAAUAUCCCAUAGUAUUACUGAUUGGCAUCUAUUAGUAAUUAAAGCUUCGGCGGAUAGAGAUGGGCAUGCGUCCUAUUAGCUAGUUGGUAAGGUAACGGCUUACCAAGGCAACGAUAGGUAGGGGGCCUGAGAGGGUGAUCCCCCACACUGGUACUGAGACACGGACCAGACUCCUACGGGAGGCAGCAGUGAGGAAUAUUGGUCAAUGGGCGAAAGCCUGAACCAGCCAUGCCGCGUGCAGGAUGACUGCCCUAUGGGUUGUAAACUGCUUUUAUACAGGAAUAAACCCCCGGACGUGUCCGGGGCUGAAGGUACUGUAAGAAUAAGGAUCGGCUAACUCCGUGCCAGCAGCCGCGGUAAUACGGAGGAUCCAAGCGUUAUCCGGAUUCAUUGGGUUUAAAGGGUCCGCAGGCGGGGUAUUAAGUCAGUGGUGAAAGCCGGCAGCUUAACUGUCGAAUUGCCAUUGAUACUGGUACUCUUGAGUGUAGUUGAAGUAGGCGGAAUAAGUCAUGUAGCGGUGAAAUGCAUAGAUAUGACUUAGAACACCGAUUGCGAAGGCAGCUUACUAAGCUAUUACUGACGCUCAUGGACGAAAGCGUGGGGAGCGAACAGGAUUAGAUACCCUGGUAGUCCAC
rnacentral:rRNA from 1 species